UGGGGGAUAUUGCACAAUGGGCGCAAGCCUGAUGCAGCGACGCCGCGUGGGGGAUGAAGGCCUUCGGGUUGUAAACUUCUUUUGCUCUGAACAAGGCGCACUUUGGGGUGUGUUGAGUGUAGGGGUUGAUUAGCGCCGGCUAACUACGUGCCAGCAGCCGCGGUAAUACGUUGGGCGCGAGCGUUGUCCGGAAUUAUUGGGCGUAAAGGGCUUGUAGGUGGCUGGUUGCGUCUGUCGUGAAAGCUCAUGGCUUAACUGUGGGUUUGCGGUGGGUACGGGCUGGCUUGAGUGCAGUAGGGGAGGCUGGAAUUCCUGGUGUAGCGGUGGAAUGCGCAGAUAUCAGGAGGAAUACCGGUGGCGAAGGCGGGUCUCUGGGCUGUUACUGACACUGAGGAGCGAAAGCAUGGGGAGCGAACAGG
rnacentral:rRNA from 1 species